UACUCCUACGGGAGGCAGCAGUAGGGAAUCUUCCACAAUGGGCGCAAGCCUGAUGGAGCAACACCGCGUGAGUGAAGAAGGGUUUCGGCUCGUAAAGCUCUGUUGUUAAAAGAAGAACACGUAUGAGAGUAACUGUUCAUACGUUGACGGUAUUUAACCAGAAAGUCACGGCUAACUACGUGCCAGCAGCCGCGGUAAUACGUAGGUGGCAAGCGUUAUCCGGAUUUAUUGGGCGUAAAGAGAGUGCAGGCGGUUUUCUAAGUCUGAUGUGAAGGCCUUCGGCUUAACCGGAGAAGUGCAUCGGAAACUGGAGUAACUUGAGUGCAGAAGAGGGUAGUGGAACUCCGAUGUGUAGCGGUGGAAUGCGUAGAUAUAUGGAAGAACACCAGUGGCGAAGGCGGCUACCUGGUCUGCAACUGACGCUGAGACUCGAAAGCAUGGGUAGCGAACAGGAUUAGAUACCCUGGUAGGAUAGC
rnacentral:rRNA from 1 species